UUCAACUCAACAUUAUGUGUUUAAUGUGAAAUUUUAUUUCAAAUUUUACUGUGCAGAUUUAAUAAGAGUGAGAUAGUUAUAAAUCAGGAGACACGGUAGCGGUUUUGUGUUUUCCUAGUGGCUGAUUAGAUAUCAUUUAUCGUACUCCUCAUAUAUUUGGAAAACAGAAUGCGCAGUCUUUCGAGUGAUUUUUUUUUGGAGGACCGAGCAGGUAAUGCGAAUGAGAGGUUUUUUGUCCGAAGAAUGGAUAGUACUAUUUUGAAAAAUGUGGAUGCUAUUUCGAGGGGACGCUUCAAUUCUUAUAUAGCAUGCGAUGAUCAAUGUACUCAUCAUGGAUCACUGCUUCGGGCAUUAUUUUUCUCAUGGUUCAAUCGUAAUGUGCAUUCAAUUGUGAUCUUAUUUCCGUCGACCGAUCCUCAAGUUCAGAAACGAUUCAAGCCACAGGAAAACAGAAUGCGCUGUCUGUCAAAUGAUUUCUUUUUGGAUUUAGAUGCUAUUUCAAAAGGAUGCUUCAAUUCUGAUGCAGUAUAUGAUGAUCAUUGUACUUAUCUUGGAUCAUUGCUCCAGGAAUUAUUUUUCUCAUGGUUUGAUCGUAAUGUGCAUUCAAUUGUGAGCUUAUCUCCAUCAACCGACUCUCAAGUUCAGAAACGAUUCAAACUACAGAAAAAUAGAAUGUGCAGUCUGUCGAGUGAUUUUUUUUUGGAGAAUUUGGUUUCGAAAGGAUGCUUCAAUUCUGAUGUAGCAUACGAUGAUCAUUAUACUCAUUAUGGAUCACUGCUUCAGGCAUUAUUUUUUUUAUGGUUCGGUCGUAAUUCAAUUGUGAUCUCAUAUCCGUCAACCGACUCUUAAGUUCAGAAACGAUUUAAGCCACAGGAAAACAUAAAAUGGGCAGUCUUCCGAGUGAUUUUUUUUUGGAGAGCAGAACAAAUAAUGCGAAUUAGAAGUUCUUCGUUCGAACAAAUAACAGUGCUAUCUUGAGAAUUUGAUGCUAUUUCAAGAGGAUGCUCGAAAUCUGAUGUAGCAUAUGAUGAUUAUACUCGUCAUGGAUCACUGUUACGGGCAUCAUUUUUCUCAUCGUUCGUUCGUAAUGUUCAUUCAAUUCUGAUCUUAUCGCCGUAAACCUACUCCCAAGCUCAGAAACGAUUCAAGUCAUAGGUCCGAAGAAUGUACUUUGGCAAACUGCACAUGAAUUUAACUCCAGAUCCGAGGUAUUCUCCAUGAAGUUUCAUACAAUUCUACAUUCCUUAUUUUUUGCUUUCCAAUGAAAAAUAUAUCUUGAAUUAUUUUCAAACGAUUUACGAAAAUUCGUUGUUUUUAUUAUAAAGUACGUAUCAUUGGAUAUUAUAAAGAGUUAUUCCAAUAAAACAAAAAUAUU